UCACUAUUCGGGAUUCAUGGCGUGUCCUCCGGUCAGACUCAGUUUUUUUCAGUCGAUGGUUCGUCUCCUCAGUUCCUCUCUUUCUCUCCUGUUGGAAGCAAAUCAGUCGAAUGGACGCGAUACGUUUAGAUUCGAAUACAAGAUGGCUGCGCAGGUGCGGCAGUGACGAAAAAUGACGUGGAAUUACGCCACGGAGACGCCAAAGAUAUUGCGGGAUAUGACAAGAAGGAAACGUAGCCAUCUUCCUCCUCCAUGGGGGGGCUGACAGCCACAGGGCCGGCGAGGUAGAUGUUGCCCGUUGCCCCCUCCUCAAACUCUCGGUCCUCCUCUUCAGGUGUCAUUUGGCUGGCCAUCACCAGGCCCUGGUUGAUGUAAUGCACCUCUUCGCUGGCCUCCAGGGGCGGCAGUUUUGACAGAAUAGCCUUGAGCUUUUCCCCCAGCUCCCCAAAACCUGGCCUCUGCACAGGGUCUCUGCUCCAGCAACUCAGCAUUACCUUAUAACUGACAAGUUAAGUGGGGGAUUAAAUACAGUGAGCCACUAUUUUUAAACUACAUGUUUGCCUAUUAAGUUGUUUUCUGGAACAGCACUUCCUCAAAUUAACAUACCCAAAACUGACUUUGCUUCUAUCUUUCAUAGCAAAAGUCAGUUUACCUCCCUCCCCGCACAAAGAUGCACUCAUCCAUGCAUGUACGCACUUUCACACACAGAUACACACACUGCUGCCAACCUACUGCAAUGAUCCUGUUCACAGUUUACAAAAGCU